rnacentral:lncRNA from 1 species
GAGGAGCAAACCAGGAUUGUUGGUAAUGAAGACCAAAAGGUAGUGGUUGCUAGUAUGGCACUUUGGGCAUUGCUAACUGCUCGUUUUCAGCCACUUGAAGGUUGGGAUCAAUAAGCUUUUUGACUUUGGCACGACGAUCUUCAAAUUCUUUUCCUUCAAUCUCAUCAUUAGACGCGAUCCUCUUGGAUCCACUACUCAUUUCUCCCUUGCUUCCGUUGACAUGGGCCGUGACAUUGGAAAUCCAA